GGGCUAAGAAAAAAUAAUAAUUGUACCUUUUGUAUCAGGGGAAUUUAAAAGUAAAAUAAGGAUUUUAUCGAGUCAACCAGAUCUUCUUUGGUUGGUUUAAUAGUAAAAUCUAAUGAUUAAAAGCAAGUAAGAGGUAAAAAGUGUACGGUGGUUUUGGUAUCUAGUUGUUUUGGUAUUGUAAAGGGAUAAGCUUUUAAUAAUCUAUGUUGCAGGGUAGUGUAAGAAAACUAGGCUUUAGAUUAGCCAGGUUAUUAGGAUGUUUUAAGUAAUUUUUUUAUUAUUAACAAUAUAUAGAGUUAUAUAAAUAAUAAUGAAUAUUAUAAGUUUAUAAAAAUAAUGAAUUUAUUGAAUAUUAAAUUAAACUCUAAAAUAACUCAAAAUAUUUUAGAAAGUUUAACAAAAACAUUUCUAUUUGAUGAAAAAAAAGUAAGACCUGCCCGGUGAUAAUUAAACGGCUGCGGUAUUUUAACUGUGCUAAGGUAGCAUAAUCAAUUGUUUCUUAAUUGGUAACUGGAAUGAAGGGUUUAACUAAAUUAUUUAGUUUGUUAAGUUAAGUAGGACGUUAAAGUCAAGGUAAUAAUUCUUUGAUCUUCUAGGGGACGAUAAGACCCUAGAAGCUUAAUAUAUUGAAAAUAUAUUAGUUAUAUAAUGUAAUUUAUUUUACUGGGGCGGUAACAAUUUAUUAACUAUUGUUAAUUUGAGGGAUCCUUAUAAUAAAGAUAGAGCGGAGAAGUUACUCUAGGGUUAACAGUGUGAUAUACUUGAAGAGAUCGUAUCGAUAAGUAUGAUUACAACCUCGAUGUUGAAUUAAGAUUUCUUAAUGGGGCAGCCAAUAUAAGAGAAGGUUUGUUCAACC
rnacentral:rRNA from 1 species